AAUCUCUCUCCGUUAUCUGUCUGAUCUAGCAGAGAUCCCAUGUUAUGCAGAUAAAAUUUUCCAGGAAUCAGUAGCUUCUGCAUCUGGGAAGUAACUUCAGUCCUAAAACUUCUUUGGCAAUAGCUACUUGGAGGAUGUUUUUAGGGGCAUACUGGGAGCAUGACAGGCUGUUCCAUCUGUUUGCAGAACAGUUGCAGGCUGUGAGCAGAAGAGGAGAUGGGAGGAUACAACUGACUUCUUCAAGGGGACCUCCAGCAUCCCGUGUGCCCAGGCAGACCAGAACUUUCCUUCAAUCCAGCAGCUGAAAGAAGCACCCAACAGACAGAAAACCAGAGCAUGGAACGCUUGCAGUAGGUGAGAGACUGAGUGCAGUGGAGACAGAGCCUUAUCUGUGAGCUGAGCAGCUCCUGUAUCUCGGGGAGCAGCUCCUGGGCAGCCCCUGGUGGUAUCGGGCCAGGCCCUCCCGGGGUGACAGCGCCACUCGGAGCCGCUGCCAGGGACCUUCAUCGGCCACCCCCGGCUCAGGGCACCGGGCUGCUGAGUGCCCAGCUGAGGCACACACAGGCACACGGGUGGCACACCUCCCAGCACAGCUGGCACGGCAUUUCUUGUAUUUUCCAGCCAGGUCAGGCUUGAAUUCUAUAAUAACUGUGUGGAUUCUCACCCAGCUGCACCACUGACUGCAAACUCUGCAUCAGGAUUUCUCCCUCUGUUCAUGACUCUGUGCUGCUGCCUUCUAUUCCUAGGACAGCUUGUGGGGAACCCUAAAACAAACUCCUUCUGGUUCCUGUUUUCCUUUUUUCUGUGCUCAAGGCUAUUCUCACAUUCCUCACUGCUGAUGACUGCUCAGUUUUCCCGAGUCUCAUUCAGGGUGCUCUACCUACAAGCCAGAUACUUGUCAUCUCUAAAAGAUGUUUGUUUCCACAGAAGAAUAGCAAUGAGGUUGCUGUGUGCUCCCUUCACAGUCAGCCAGGCUGGGAGAAGUCCAAAUAUCCAAUCAUCCCUUGGAAUUCAUAAUGCUUGAAGAUAAAGCAGCCAAAAAUAGUUUCUAUAAGCUGGAUGGUUCUAUAACUUUCUGUGUUUAUCUAACAAGACAAAGUUAAGAAGUACAGUAGGUCAUGCACUAAACUGAGCAAGAUCAUGGGGCAUGUAGGGGCUCAUGGAGAUGAGCUAAUUGGUUAUUUAUUCGAUUAACUUAACCUCUCUCUGUUUGAGAAUUACCUUCUUGCAUUGCUCUUACAUUUGCUUUGAUAAAAGGAAAACCAACCCAGCUGUACAGUGAGGCAUUAAGAGAUGCUAAAAAGACUCUUUUGGGGAGAGGAGGGGGGAGAGAGGGGAGUUCACUCAGCUCUGCCAGAGCCUUAUUUUUUCCUGCCUUCCAAGAACAGGCUAUGUUCCAUCCCCUGCCGCCCCCUCAGCUGGUGCUGGGAAGAGCAGCUGAGUUUAGCUCACUGUUCCUGGAAGUCACUGAGACAAGGAGCAUCGAGAAACCAGCAUUUUCUGUAGCGCUCUCUGCUUCAAUGGAAAAGAUGAGCUGAUCUUGAUCCUGCUUGUUCUCUAGCCAGGGUUAACCCUCACUGCACCGAGACAGGCUACAAAAUGUGCCCUUUCAGAAAGGGGCUGUGUGUCUGGAAGCCACUCUGAAAUGCAGUGUCACACCAUCAGCAAAUGCAUCCCUGAGGUAACUCAGGCUGUCCAGAUUUAUGCUGGACCAAUAAAACCUUUUACUUGUUUUUUUUGCCCAUUGAAGCAGAGCAAUUGUUCAGCCAGGCUGUACCAGUGGCCAUGUCUUCUGUGCUCAGUGAGGGAAGCGCUUUUUGUAGAGCAGAGAACUCAGCCACAGACUUCCCCACAACUGCCCUAGUUAAGAAAAACCUUGAGAGGGCAAUUCCAGCUUGGUGCUGUGCACUGAUGCACAGAAUGUUUGAUCUUGUGCUUUUAGAGUCAUUUAACAACUGUGCCAUUGGGUAAAUUCCAGUCAGUUAAAUGAAAUUACUUUUAUGAGGGUUACAGAUAGGGACGAGGAGUUUACAGUUUGUGAUCCUGUAAUUUGAGUUCUGUUUCUUGUUGCAUGAUGGGUUCUCCAGUGCCUCAGUUUCCCUGAGUAGUGUAGGAUACACUGAUACUGUGCUUCAGGUGGGCAUCUUGAGAGUGGAUUAGUGCCUGUGGGGUCCCCAGGCAGAGAGAUCUCCAGAAACACAAUCUGUUCCAGACCACUGGAAAUGCACUGGUUCAUUUAUUUCCUUACUUAGACUGAUUCAAAGCUUGUUAUUCCCCAGCUGUGAAUGUCACAGCCAUAGCCCCAGUGCCAAAUUUAGCUGAGUCUGAUGAGAUCAGGAAACAGCUUAAAGUGACCAGAACAGGCAGAUGUAGGCAUGUCUAGUGUUAUUUCCAUGGAUGCAAUUAAUAGAAGUAGUCCAAAGGUUUUUCUCUUUCAGUGUUUUUUGCUUUCUUUAUUCAAGGGAUAAAAAAAAAUCUGUUUCUUUCCCUGUGCUUAAAAUUGGCUUGGACUUUUUAAAUGACACAGAUCAUCACUGAUACUUUAUGUUCUCUGUGGAGCUCUGAUGAGAGCUGGCCCCUGAUUUCAUCUCCUCUUUGCAGUAACCUGGGAAAGAAAACAAACUUGUCAUGAGUGCCAGCAUGGGCAUCUGGCAGAGGGCACCCAAAGGAGAGAAGGUGUUGGGGUGACCUGACCAUUUCUGGUAGCUGCCACUGGUAGCAUGUAAUGAGACAACUUCUUGAGAUCAGUUUUGUGCCUGUACAGAGUUCAUGGAAGUGACUGAUUUCUUUUUUUUUAUUUUUUUUUUUCUGUGAUGGAGGGUGAAGGAAGAAGGGCUGAAGCUCUUGGAUCCUACAAGACUCUGCUUUGCCCCAUCCUGUCCCCAAAGGAAUUUCACUGCCAUUCAGUUGAAUUUCAGGCUCCAGAGCCAGCAUCCAUAGUCCUGUGAGGCAGGGAAGAGGCUGUGGGGUGGGAUCCCUGGCAAGGCUCUGGCCUCUGGGGAAGGAGCUGAGUGACCAAGCCCAUCUGCAUCCUGCUCCCAUAACUGCUGUGCUUUGGGCAGCUGCUUGGAGCAGCAGCUUUCUCCUGCAGUGUGUAUUCCAGGGAAACAGGGGCACAGUGCUGGAGCUGUGGCUGUGCAGAGGGGCUGGAGGUGCUGUCACUGGCAGUUCCCUGAGUGCAGAGCUCAGCCCUUCUGUUGCGUGUGGUCUUAUUUUGGUUUGUGCUCAUUCUUCUUACAGCGUGGGAAGUUGCCAGAGCAGCAAUGCUCAUGCUGCUGAUCAGCCUGUAAGGGUUUCUUUGUUUGACUGCCUCAGUUCUUGGAAUUGAUCUAUGCUAGGCAGCAUCUUGAAAAACACUAACUAGAAAAAUAGCAUCCACCUGAUAUUUUCCUUUUAGCACAGAUUCAAAGGGAAAAACAGAGCUGCUACAAAAGACUUCAGGCAUCCUGUGUGGUAAGGAGGUGUCAGCAGCUGAGUCAGGCCCACAAAACAUCAUUUAAACAGAAAUCUGUGUUUAUCUGCUUGUCUGGACACAGCUCCAUCCCUGUGCUGUGCUCACAAGGUGGGUGAGUGAUUUUGCAGGGUGCAGAAUAACUAACACACACUUACCAAGCAUGAUACUGCUGGGUUGGUCGUUGCACUGUGGCCUUGCAGAUACCACCCCCAAGAAUAAAAUACAGUCAUCCUAUUUCUGGGUAACUGGCUGAUCAUAGUGAAAUAAAGAAUGAGCCCCUGAUAAUUCUGGGCUCACAAAUUUCCAAUAGAUUUGUUUACCAGCAGCCUAGAAUUUUCAUGGGUGAAGAAUGAGAAUUUUCUUUUAUUUACAUUUUAUGGUAAAAAUGUUCCUCUUUUGUAACCAGAAGUUGCAGGCACAGUUCUUCCCAGGCUUGCUGACCCUGGGAUGUCUGGUGAUAUGAGCUGUGACAAUUAUCCUAGAAAUACAAGGCUUCAAACCUAAAGUGCUCGUUAUCAUUUCCAUUACAGACCCAUUCAGCAUUUGCAAUCUGGGAUGCAUCUAAUGUUACAAGAAGCCAUCUCCCAGGAAGCUUGUAUUUGAUACCAGUGAGGCAAAUAACGGGGGAAAGGGGGCCUGGAAGCCCAGGGUGUACAAGUGGUUUGUCUCAGGAUAGCUGACAGGUCUGGGCAGAAAGGGAAAUAAGCUCUAGGUCUUCUGAGUGUCAGCCAACAGCUUUGCUGCCCCUCACCUGGGGGUAAAAGUCUCCGAAAUUGAUGGUUUGAUCACUGUUGGCUCCUGCUUCCUUCUCUUUCCAUUCAUAUUCAGUAGCUUCUUUGCCAUACAAUUUUGUAGGCUCUCCAGAGAGCUGAGGGUUGGAGUUCAAGAGUUCAGGUGCCAUCAAGCUCCCAGAGGUGCCUGGGAGCUUUAUUUGUACAGCAGAAAUUUCCAGAAGCCUCCUGGUGUUUAGACCCUUUGCACCAGGUGCUGCAGUGGCACAGCUUGGGAGUGCUGGCACUGCCUGUUCCAGGAGGAAAGAGAGAGAAUCCUGUAUGGCUGGAAAAGUGCAAUUGUUUGUAUCUUGUUGCAUCCCCUGGCUUUAAGGCUUUAGUUGUUUUUCAGAAAUGGCACUUAGAAGUGAGCAGAGACCCAGAAAAGUGAGCUCUGGCUCUGGUGUGUACUUGAGAGCUCAGAAGGGACAGAGGUUUCUUUCCCUCAGUGUGAGGUUUCUUUGCCCUCUCCAUCUCAGGGGCAUUUUGUUAUCGCUUCACUUCCCUCAUCACUCCUAAGGGGCUCUCUCUGUGAUCUUAUCUCCAUUCUCCCUGCCCUUCUCUUUUCCUUUGCUUGGCUUUCACUCUUGGAUUCUUUCCUCCAGUAUCUUAUGCUCCUGACUGUUCCCUCCCAGUACAGAGCAGCACAGACUGCCUCCUUCCUUCUUGUGUCCAUCACAUUUGUCUUCCUCUUUCUUAAAUUCUCUCUCUCUUAUCCUUCCCUCCACUUUAUAGCUGGUUCCUCUGUGGCUGUCAGGUCUCUUGUCUCCACACCAUGUGUUGAAGAAGAACAGACCAAACAAGGUUUGCCAGGUCUUUGCUGUGCUCUUGACUGAUAAAUUCAGUGUUUCUGUUGCUCCUGGUUCUUCCAGAGCGCAGGCAGGGAGCCCAGCACCCCCUCCCACGCAGUGAGCUCACAGGGAGCUGUCACAGUUUAUUCUAAGAAAUCAGCUAAUGUACAGUACUCGGCAGAAGCACCCCUCCCCUGGGAGGAUCAGCAGAAUUAGGAUGUGCAGCAAGUUAUCUUGGGGAUUACACAAUCUUAUCACCUCCUCCAGGGCACCAGGGAGAGGCGAGCUCUGCUCAGAGCACUCUGAGUCACACUUCCCCUGAAACAUGGUACAGGUUUCCUGACUCACUUCCUCCCAGGACUUCUGUUUCCUUAGGUCUUUUCACCAACAUAAGAAAAAAAGGAAAGUGUCAGAGAAAGGGAAGUCAAGGCAACCACGGCCUCUGAGCCUUGGGAGUGCCUGCCCCAUGUCCCUUGUCUGUUCUGAGCUGGGGUGGGAAGGCAGUUCUGCUCAGCAGGCAGGGUAUGGAGAGUCACUCACUGCUCAGGAGGUGGUAAGGAUUUUGUUUGGCUCCCUGAAACAGCAGGGAUGUAGUUGAGCACUUUCAGUUACAUGGCUGGUUUCUAUUAUUUAAUUUGGAAACACCCCAUCAUAUAUCUACAAAUUAAAUGCACCAGUGAUCAUUCUCCUGUGACUGGCAGUUGGUUCUUGCAUCAUCUGAGUCUGCAAGGGAGAGAAGGGGUAGGAGCUGGGAGUGGGCAGAGCUGCUGUGGGACAUAUCCUGCUCAGGAGCCUGCUGAUUGCCAAAACCAGAUAGUCUAAGCAAUGAUGGUGGGCUUGCCUUGCUGCUGGCUCUUAGCUUAGGCUGGUGCCAGCUCUCAGACUCCAGCAGCAGGGGAUUCUCUCUGCAUAGUUGCUGUUUUUCUUCAAGCCUCUGGAUUUAUAAGUCUCUCUUGUCAUGAGAUAGUCUCAGAUAUUAUUUCUUUUUCCUUUUAUUUUUUGAGCAUAUUCUCAGCCCUUGUAGUGUCAGGGACAGCUUGGAAAAUACGACUCUGUGAGGGAUGAACAGCCUGAAGGCCAAUAACCAGUCCCAUGCAGCUGUUCCACCCUGACACCCCAACUAUGAGCAUUUGUUCUAUUGUGUUCUUGAGAGCUGACUCCUGCAUUGAGAGCACUUGGAACAAGCCUUGUGCACUUGCUCACCUACUUCAGUGGAGUGGGAGGGGAUUGCUGAGUUACUGAAAUAGCUGCCUCUUCAGUACCUGGAAAUACUCUCUCUCUGCAUCACAGCCUAGUUCUGGAGCACACUUUGUGACAUGAAUAAGUUCAGGUUGCCAGUCAUCCCCAGGGCUGAAUUUUGUCAAGCCUUUAUGAUAAGAGAAAGGAUCCAUAUGAGAUCUAAGAAUUCCUGCUUAUCUCUACUGUGACCUGCCUGGCAGUGUGGGUUUCCAGGACACGCUGAUAGAAAUUCAGAGCCUGGUUUGAUGUAGCACUGCCCUGCAGAGCUCUGGAUCAGGCUGUACCGGCUGCUGGGCUUCUGACAUCUGUCCCCAAUAUCACCUGUGUGGCAGUAGCAGGAAAUCACCCUCCUGACCUCCAGCAUGUGUCUCCCUGCUGGUAGAGAGCAAGUGGAAAUGAGAAGGCCUUUCCAUUCUGUGUUGGAUGGCUUCUCUGAAAACACAGGAAGGAGCUGAAAAGAGAAAUAAACGUGACACCCAG